rnacentral:ncRNA from 1 species
UAAUCGAACCAUUAACAACUACAGGUGGUUAAUAGGCAGCUGAAAGUGCCUGUCUAGUGUGCAUCAGUGGCAUGCGACAUCUUCAAAUUGCGGGGACGUCCUAAAACCUUCAUCACCAAGCUAUCGUGGAAACACAGAUAGUGGCCGAGCUAAUAGCCCUGGGUAUGGUAAAAGCAUGAAGGAUGCAACAAUGGAUAAUCCGCAGCCAAGCUCUACGUCGUAGCAAUGCGAUAUGAGUGCAGUUCACAGACUAAAUGGAGAUGGGUUGCGUAGCAAUACGCAGCUUAAGUUAUAGUCGACCCCUUGCGAGAGCAAGCC